rnacentral:lncRNA from 1 species
CACAGUUGUGUAACCAUCUUUACAGAAAAGGUGUGUCUCUGUGCCCAUCAUGGAGCUCCAGGCUCCAUCAGUUUUGAAAACCGGUAUUUACUUCACAUAASAGGCAUUGUAAAUCUGAUGACUUUUCAGCAAGAGCCACUGGAGACAGUGGUUGCUUGCUCUCUGGGAUCUCACUAAGAAAGAGUCUACCUGGGGUACUAAGUCCUGCUUCUUUUCCCUCCUUCAGGUCUGCCUGAUAAGUUGGAGAUACUUGUAUGAUUGCUAUUCUGCCUUUUGAAUACUGUAUGUUCUUGCCACGACAAAUCGGUGCUGAAAUUGCUGGCUUCUUCCACCCAUUUUUUAUUAAGUUGCAGGUAGGGCAUAYGUCUGACAAGUUGCGUGGCUGUAAAACAGUGUGCCACAGGAGGCCAAGCUGCGUUUGUUACCAAGGACGACUGUUGUGGCACUGGCACAAUGUACAGGAGACACCCACUCCCCAUAUAAGAACUCAUAUAAUGCACUCCCCAUCACCACCCACUACAGGAAUGUAAUUUAGCUGAAUCCAAGCAUACCACAAGGACAGUAAAAGCAGCCAUCAUACCUGGUGUCUUCCACAAGUGCUUUGGUCCUCUCAAUAUUCAGCUGUCAAAAGCCAUUGAUCAGCCCAGUUAUGACUGCAGAAAAGCAAGCAGUAUAAUGAGAAUGGCCUUUGCUGACCUCUUCAGAAACAAUGCAGAAAGAGAGCAUCGCCGGUGUACAUCAGGUAGCUAUAUGAAGAUCUACAAAAUAUGUUACCAGAAAAGAGCCUAAGUGAAAUGAGACCAUCUUAAACAAAUACAAGGUAAAUUUAAGAAUCUUAACAGAUUUUUUUUUUUUUUUUUAGUGAAACAGAAGUAUACUAGAAAGUGUGGUAUAUUUAAGGAAAGCAUUACUUAACACUAUCCUUUAAAGCAUACUGUCUUUCCAGUACUGCACAGGAUUAUUCGGCUGGUGCAACACAUUUCGCCAAGCUUAAAAUGAGUGGCACUAUUUUCGUUUCCACACCAGGCAUUUUCAGUUACUGCUCCAUAAGAUGGAAGUCAGCUAGAAGACCAAGAUUCAGUUUUGGAAGCUGUGGCUCAUACACAUGAAUGRUGGUCACAGCAGGUUCUGUGGGAAAAUGCCAGACUUCAUCCAGUUCAUGUAGGACGCUGAACUUGGUUAGUGCCCAAGAAGUUGUAAUAUCUUGCUAAUGGACAGUUUCAGAAAAAAWAAAUAAAUAAAUCUGUUAAGGGCUUAUUAUUUCUUGA